AAGUCGUAACAAGGUUUCCGUAGGUGAACCUGCGGAAGGAUCAUUAACACGUAUCCAAACGUUAAAACCCCCCCCGUGAACCUUCAUCCUGCUCUUGUAACCCGCGUAGUUCGCAAUCUCUGAUAAAUCAUAGCCCGGAAAGUUGUAGUGAUUCAGAGACCUCUGGCUACGUGCGAACAUUGGAACAGUUACAAUCGAGCGGUAGUUCUAUAGGCAAUGUUUCCCCAAGUCGGUCUACAGGAAUCGUAGAAGCGCUAUCCUUGCACAAUCAAUGACACCGUACACUCGGGCAGGAGCUUUGCCAAAGGGUCCCCAUGCCCCCUAAUAACCCCACAGUUUAAUGUGAAGCUCAAUGUAAUAACCGAACAAACUGUUAACAAUGGAUAUCUUGGUUCUC
rnacentral:misc_RNA from 1 species